rnacentral:rRNA from 1 species
UGGGGAAUAUUGGACAAUGGGCGCAAGCCUGAUCCAGCCAUGCCGCGUGAGUGACGAAGGCCUUAGGGUUGUAAAACUCUUUCGCCGGGGACGAUAAUGACGGUACCCGGAGAAGAAGCUCCGGCUAACUUCGUGCCAGCAGCCGCGGUAAUACGAAGGGAGCUAGCGUUGUUCGGAAUUACUGGGCGUAAAGCGCACGUAGGCGGAUUUGUCAGUCAGGGGUGAAAUCCCGAGGCUCAACCUCGGAACUGCCUCCGAUACAACAAGUCUUGAGGACGAGAGAGGUUGGUGGAAUUCCUAGUGUAGAGGUGAAAUUCGUAGAUAUUAGGAAGAACACCAGUGGCGAAGGCGGCCAACUGGCUCGUAUCUGACGCUGAGGUGCGAAAGCGUGGGGAGCAAACAGGAUUAGAUACCCCCGUAGUCC